rnacentral:ncRNA from 1 species
UAAUCAAUGUUGAAACAGAUAGUAAAUCGGUGGAGUUAUUUAGAGAGUCAUGUUAGCUGAAAAGUGACUAAUGAAACUGAUUGAAUCCGCUGCGGAGUUCUUCUGAUGAAUCUAAGUCAGAACGGGUUAUCGUUAACUAAAAGAGUGCUGUAGUCCGGACUACAGUUAACUUGGGUGGUACCAUGUUUGCAAAUGACAUCCCAUAG